UAAGUUUUAUUCUUAUUUUAAUGCUUUGUUAAUUUAUUUUAUUUAAAUUAAUUUAUAUAGAAGGGGUAAGAGAAAUGUUUGAUUUCAGCUUAAUUUUUUACGUUAUUAUUAAAAUUGUAUGAAAGCUAAGGCGUGAUAUAAAUAAUUUAAUUAAAUAUUAAAUUAGUUAAAAAGUAAAGGUAAAUUAUGAAACUUUAUAGUCUCAGCAUAAAAUAUUAUAAGCAAUAUAUUAAAGUAUGAUAUAGUAGUAAUAAUCUAAGUCUGAUUAAUAUUUGUGCCAGCAUUCGCGGUUAUACUUUAAGAUUAAGUAAAAAUUCAAGGUUAUAGUUAAAUAGGUAAUUAAUAAAAUAUAUAAGUAAUAAAGGGUAAAAUCGGAAUAUUAUUUUGUAUAAAAAAAAAUUCUAAUUGAAGCUAAAAAAGUUUAGUAAUAAACUAGGAUUAGAUACCCUAUUAUUCUAAAAUAAAAUAAUCUAGACCAAAUUAGUAGGAGAUAAAUACUUAAAAUUUAAAAAAUUUGGCGGCAAUUUAAUCUUUUCAGAGGAACCUGUUUUGUAAUCGAUAAACCACGAAAAAUCUUACUUGUUCUUGUAAAUAAAACAGUUUGUAUACCAUCAUUAUCAGAUAAUUCUUAGAGGAGAAAUUAUUAAAUUUGGUUGUUUAGUUAAAUUAGAUCAU
rnacentral:rRNA from 1 species